CUGCAGCCAGCUAAGCCAGCUGGCCUCCUCUCCAUGUGGGCACCCGGUGUGCCAUGACUACAACCAGCAGCUUCCCCAGCGGGGUAUACAGCCUGUUUAUUGCUCCUGUAUUUCAGCUAUGGAAACCCUG
rnacentral:snoRNA from 1 species